rnacentral:rRNA from 1 species
UGGGGAAUCUUCCGCAAUGGGCGAAAGCCUGACGGAGCAACGCCGCGUGAUCGAAUGAAGGCCCUCGGGUCGUAAAGAUCUGUUGACAGGGACGAAUAAGCCAUGCGAAUAGUUUGGUGUAUGACGGUACCUGUUUAGAAAGCUCCGGCUAACUACGUGCCAGCAGCCGCGGUAAUACGUAGGGAGCAAGCGUUGUCCGGAAUUACUGGGCGUAAAGGGCGCGUAGGUGGGCGCUUAAGUCAGGUGUGAAAACUCCGGGCUCAACCUGGAGACUGCACUUGAAACUGGGUGUCUUGAGGGCAGGAGAGGAAAGUGGAAUUCCUAGUGUAGCGGUGAAAUGCAUAGAUAUUAGGAGGAACACCAGUGGCGAAGGCGACUUUCUGGACUGUACCUGACGCUGAGGCGCGAAAGCGUGGGUAGCGAACGGG